rnacentral:rRNA from 1 species
UACGUAGGGGGCAAGCGUUGUCCGGAUUUAUUGGGCGUAAAGAGCGUGUAGGCGGCUUUGCAAGUCCGUUGUGAAAACUCGAGGCUCAACCUCGAGACGCCGGUGGAAACUGCAAAGCUAGAGUCCGGAAGAGGAGAGUGGAAUUCCUGGUGUAGCAGUGAAAUGCGUAGAGAUCGGGAGGAACACCAGUGGCGAAGGCGGCUACCUGGACCAGCACUGACACUGAGGCACGAAAGCGUGGGGAGCAAACAGGGA